rnacentral:rRNA from 1 species
AUAUCAAUAAGCGGAGGAAAAGAAACCAACAGGGAUUGCCUCAGUAACGGCGAGUGAAGCGGCAACAGCUCAAAUUUGAAAUCUGGCCUCUUUGGGGUCCGAGUUGUAAUUUGUAGAGGAUGUUUCGGGUACCGCCUCGGUCUAAAUUUCUUGGAACAGAAUGUCAGAGAGGGUGAGAAUCCCGUCUUGGACCGGCGGUAGGGCCCAUGUGAAACUCCUUCGACGAGUCGAGUUGUUUGGGAAUGCAGCUCAAAAUGGGUGGUAUAUUUCAUCUAAAGCUAAAUAUUGGCCAGAGACCGAUAGCGCACAAGUAGAGUGAUCGAAAGAUGAAAAGAACUUUGAAAAGAGAGUUAAACAGUAUGUGAAAUUGUUGAAAGGGAAGCGCUUGCAACCAGACUUGAGCGCGGCGGUUCCCCCUUCCUUUUGGUUGGGUUACUCCGUCGUGUCCAGGCCAACAUCGGUUCUGGGGGUCGGUUAAAGGCCUGGGGAAUGUAUCUACGUCUUCGGGCGUAGACUUAUAGCCCCGGGUGUCAUGCGACCUCCCGGGACCGAGGAACGCGCUUCGGCUCGGAUGUUGGCGUAAUGGUUGUAAGCGACCCGUCUUGAAACACGGACC